rnacentral:rRNA from 1 species
GACGAACGCUGGCGGCGUGCUUAACACAUGCAAGUCGAACGGAAAGGCCCUGCUUGCAGUGUACUCGAGUGGCGAACGGGUGAGUAACUCGUGGGUGAUCUGCCCUGCUCUUCGAGAUAAGCAUCGGAAACUGGGUCUAAUACCUGCUAGGAGCCAUCUUUAGUGUGGUGGUUGGAUAGUUUUUUGGGUGUAUGAUGAGCGUGCUGCCUGUCAACUUGUUGGUUGGGUAAGUGCCUACCAAGGCGGCGUCGGGUAGCCGGCCUGAGAGGGUGUACGGCCACAUUGGGACUGAGAUACGGCGCAGACUCCGACGGGAGGCAGCAGUGGGGGAUAGUGCACAAUGGGCGCAAGCCUGAUGCAGCGACGUCGCGUGGGGGAUGAAGGCCGUCAGGUUGUAAACUCCUUUCGCUAGGGACGAAGGUUUGUUGUGACGGUACCUAGAUAAGAAGCACCGGCUAACUACGUG